rnacentral:rRNA from 1 species
GACGGAGGAUGCAAGCGUUAUCCGGAAUGAUUGGGCGUAAAGCGUCCGCAGGUGGCAGUUCAAGUCUGCUGUCAAAGACCGGGGCUUAACUUCGGAAAGGCAGUGGAAACUGAAAAGCUAGAGUAUGGUAGGGGCAGAGGGAAUUCCUGGUGUAGCGGUGAAAUGCGUAGAGAUCAGGAAGAACAUCGGUGGCGAAGGCGCUCUGCUGGACCAUAACUGACACUCAGGGACGAAAGCUAGGGGAGCGAAUGGG